GACGAACGCUGGCGGCGUGCUUAACACAUGCAAGUCGAACGGUGAACCAGGGCUUGCCCUGGGGAUCAGUGGCGAACGGGUGAGUAACACGUGACCAACCUGCCCUUGGCUCUGGGAUAACCCCGGGAAACCGGAGCUAAUACCGGAUACGAGUUCGUGCGGCAUCACACGAACUGGAAAGUUUUUCGGCCAAGGAUGGGGUCGCGGCCUAUCAGCUAGUUGGUGGGGUAACGGCCCACCAAGGCGACGACGGGUAGCCGGCCUGAGAGGGCGACCGGCCACACUGGGACUGAGACACGGCCCAGACUCCUACGGGAGGCAGCAGUGGGGAAUAUUGCGCAAUGGGCGAAAGCCUGACGCAGCGACGCCGCGUGAGGGACGACGGCCUUCGGGUUGUAAACCUCUUUCAGCAGGGAAGAAGCGAAAGUGACGGUACCUGCAGAAGAAGCACCGGCUAACUACGUGCCAGCCGCCGCCGUAAAAC
rnacentral:rRNA from 1 species